CGUUAAUAUAUACAUUAUAUAUAUGUACUUGAGACGAAUUCUGAGGUCAUCAGUCGAUGCGAUAACGCGAAUAAUUGGUUAUUAUAUUAAUUAGCUCGAGCGCGCGCUGUUGGCAAACUAAAUUACAUUUGAAUUAAACACAAGAACCUUAAAACCGUGAAAACUGUGGCGAGCUCAGAGGAUAUUAAUUUCCGAAGUGUUCUUUGUGAGUUCCAGUGCCGAUGAGCGUCUGUGGACAGUUUUCAAGGAGGUUCAACAAUAAUAGACGGGACGUCAUUGGUCAAAGACAAUAGUUACAUAGCUGUCAACAUCUGAGAUUUAUUCGCUUGGAGAUAACAAUUUGCACAAAUAAAUUAUAAUGCAACCUGAUACAAGUGAAAGAAUCAAGCUAAUUUGACGGUGGAGAAGAUCUAAGAAGCUGUUUUCCAUCUUCUAUGCGACAGAAACCUGAAAAUUCAUCUACGCGCCAAAAACAAAUUUGUCAAAAUAUUUUUCGCACUGGAUUUGGAAGAAAACGUUACACAGAUUAAUUUCGUAUAACCAGAUUACAAUAGUUUUUUUUUUAAUUGAUCACUAUUUAAAAAAAGCGAGUGGUUUAUUUAUUUAUAUGUAUGUUUAAAAAUAUCGAUUUACGUAUUUGAUUAUCGAUUAAAACGAUUAAAACUAUUUGUUAAUAAAUCUUCAUAAUUAAAUUCAGAUUAAAAUAAUUUCAAACACUAUUUUAAAUCUAAAAAGCUUAAUUUUGUCAUGAUGGUUACGAUGCUACUGCCAUUGUACGCGAUAUUAACAAUAUCAAAUAUUUUAAUGAAGAUGGAGAAUUACAACAUACCACAUACACCCGAAUUAAGAAACAUAAGAGUUAGAAGGAACAUUGAUGUGCUACACUCAAAUAAUUAUGAAUAUACCCAAGGAAACACAUUAAAGAACAUUCGUGAUGUAUUCAAUAAAUACUCCAUUAUAAAAAGAAGAAAACGGGAUGGUAAUUCAUACAGCCAAGCUAACACCCAAGUGCCUUACAGUUACUACAAUUAUAAUACAGCCUACAAAACGCCCACUAUCAAUUAUUAUAACGUCCGUAAUGCGAAUAUUCCUUAUUACGACAACAAGAAUCCAAUAUACAACAAUCAAUACAUCAAUAAAACGCCUUAUGGCGGGCUAUACAACAAUAAAUAUACCCUGGCAUCUGGUUUGAAUAAUUUAAACAGGACAAACACAGUUCGAUAUUCCGAUGAUGCCACAACUAGAUCUGCCAAUUUUGAUAACGCUGAAAGCGCUACAAGCUAUAACGUUUUGCUUAAUAAUAAGAUUGAAACGACUACGCUAAAGCCGAAAGUAGUAAGCGCUCAUAUUUUCAGUAGUGCCUGGUGUCCGCAAUUUUUGAAAAAAAUCGGCAAUUUAUGCCUUGACGUUGACAGUCUUGAUUAUUGAUGCGAUAACUAAUAUUUUUCGUAUUUAUGGAAGGCAGAGGUAAGGAGCGCCGCCAUCUUGUAUAGGAGACAAGUUGAAAAUGUGUCCGUCUGUAAACAGCUAGUUGUUGUUGGAAGACUCAUCGAAAUAGCGCCAGUGUAUGUAGUGGAAAUGAUAUAUAUGAGUCGUCUAUUAUCAAAGGUGGCAAUCUGUGCAUUUGGACAAAACAUUUUUAUUGAUAUGUCAAUACAGAUUUAUUUUAAUAUAAUCGUCUCCUUCAAAGAAUACGGUUCAAAACCUGCAUUAAAUAAAGGUUAAUAGUUAACCUGUUAUUUAUCUAAGAUGUCGUUCCGAAGAGUUUUGUGACUGCCAAUGGAAUACAAAGUCAAUAAUUCGUUUUUCUGAUUUACCAAUCAUUGUCCAAAAGUCAGAUUGCCGCCUUUGAUAAUAGUCGACUCAUAUAUCAUAUUGCAUAUUAUAGCGUAAAUUAUAUUAAUAUUGGCUUCCUUUGAGCGGAUACUUUAAUACACUGAGAUGGUGCUCGUUAUUUUUGCCCUCUACAUUUUAACACGCUUUAUAUAACUGCUAUAUAUCUUUGAAUGUCGUUUUCACUGACUUGAAGACGUCCGAUUGACUUAACAAUUCGCGCACGCGUCAAAAACCAAUGAUUGAUGAUGAUGAUAAUAGCUUGGUUACCUACUACGCUAUAAUACAAAAAAAAAUUAUUACCUUAUUGUUUGAUAAUCAAGCAAUUUUUGAUGUGAAACAUCUAUAGCCGCACGUAAAACCGAUUUCUGGCGUGGCAACGCAUGCCGUGGCGACGCGUCGCCAUGCGCAAUCGACUGUGCGAUUCUCCCACUCGAUCCGGCGUUAAGCCAUCUCUCUCGCUACACUGAGCUCCGAUACCUCUAGUGUAUACUCCGUAGUGUAUACAGUGUUGUUUACACAUACAGUACACAUAACCUGUGUUUUACUUGAUAACAAAUUAUUUUUUCGUAAUAUUUUAUUUUAUCAUUAUGACAUAUUUAGUUCCUAUCACAAUCUGUUCUUUUCUGCAUAUUACUUUAAAAAAAUAAUGUCGAUGUUUCACACCUGCCAGGCGUCCCGUGACGAAUUUUUUUUAAAUUUUAAACCACUAUAUUGUUUAUAAUAUCCAUGACAUCACAAUAAUUUUUAAGUAAGCCUAUCGACCAAAUAUGUCUGCUGUCGUUUUAUUUAUUAACAAAUGAAAUGAAAUUAGAUAAAUAAUAUUUGGUAGGCAGCGGCUUGGCUCUGCCCCUGGCAUUGCUGAAGUCCAUGGGCGACGGUAACCACUCACCAUCAGGUGGGCCGUAUGCCCGUCUGCCUACAAAGGCAAUAAAAAAAAAAAAAAAAAAAAUAGAUGUAAUUCUUAGUAAUAGAUAAUGUUAAUGUUGCCUUCAAAUAAAAUAACUCUGACGAUGUUUUUAAUUUUAUUUAACUCAUUAAAAUAGCUAGUUGUGUGAAUAAUAUUACAGCCUUGUGGCUUCUGUGCCCUUUGUCUCGCAUUUCUCUGCGAGUUUUGGAACGAAGUUCCUUAUCGCGCGUUGUGAAAGGGGGCUAGACGGAAAAAAUUCUUACGAAAAGUUGUCACGACACUUUUUAGAUCCGUCAUUCUGACCAAUCAACGUGUAGGCGCUUAUCGCGUGACAUUGCUCGUAUCCGAUUGGUCCGCGUAAUGAGUACAGUUUCUCGAGAUAGCGUUUCAACAAUAGUAAUUUAGUUCAUAGUAUUGUUUUUUUCUUCUUCAUAAUGCCGUUAUUUAUUAUUAUAACUUUAAAAAAAAAAUACAAUUCCUUCACUAAUUAAUCGAAAGGAACUUCGUUCCAUCCGAGUGUCUCUUGACACCUCUGAAGUUUUUAUUUAAGAAUGUAAUUCCAUGUUCGGAUUUUAAAUAAUUAAAUUAAUUUAUGGGACUCUGUGUGAUACUAUUGCUCCCAGUACGAAUGUAAUUUUCAUUGGACUUUUUGGCGGGAACGCGAGUAGUGAAGUUGUGUGUUUUUUUUUGUCUAUUUAGUGUUUCUUCAAGUUUAAAUGUGUAAUAACGGUGGUUUUUUAACCAUUUAAUAUCUGUGAAAGUGCACGAUUGUGGGAAAAUGAAACAAAGCCGCUGGACGUAACUACGCGGUAUCCUCCAAAAAGUCCACUGAAAAAAUCUCAGUAAAUGACCACCAUUUUACUAAGAUUAUAUUUCAUCCCAUAUCAUCUCAUCUAAUUUCAUCCCAGUUGAUUAAUGUCUCAAAUGAAUCAUCUUCAUUUCAUUUCACCCCAUAUUACCAUUUUUCAUAUAAAUAAGAAUAUAAAUUAAAAUAAGAUAUGACUUAAAUGACCUGGUAACUAAGACAGUUACCAGGUCAUAAAAUCCUUUAAAAAUUUUUAAUUUUCAUUCAGUCUUAAAAUUAUAAAAUGUAUAGAUCUAACUUGUAUUUUCAAUAAAUAACUUCCCUAACGAUA